rnacentral:rRNA from 1 species
AUACAGAGGGUGCAAGCGUUAAUCGGAUUUACUGGGCGUAAAGCGCGCGUAGGUGGCUAAUUAAGUCAAAUGUGAAAUCCCCGAGCUUAACUUGGGAAUUGCAUUCGAUACUGGUUAGCUAGAGUAUGGGAGAGGAUGGUAGAAUUCCAGGUGUAGCGGUGAAAUGCGUAGAGAUCUGGAGGAAUACCGAUGGCGAAGGCAGCCAUCUGGCCUAAUACUGACACUGAGGGGCGAAAGCAUGGGGAGCAAACAGGAUUAGAUACCCUGGUAGUCCAUGCCGUAAACGAUGUCUACUAGCCGUUGGGGCCCUUGAGGCUUUAGUGGCGCAGCUAACGCGAUAAGUAGACCGCCUGGGGAGUACGGUCGCAAGACUAAAACUCAAAUGAAUUGACGGGG